rnacentral:rRNA from 1 species
UACGGAGGAUGCGAGCGUUAUCCGGAUUUAUUGGGUUUAAAGGGUGCGUAGGCGGUCCGUUAAGUCAGCGGUAAAAUUGCGGGGCUCAACCCCGUCGAGCUGUUGAAACUGUCAGACUUGAGUUGGCGAGAAGUACGCGGAAUGCGCGGUGUAGCGGUGAAAUGCAUAGAUAUCGCGCAGAACUCCGAUUGCGAAGGCAGCGUACCGGCGCCACGCUGACGCUGAGGCACGAAAGCGUGGGGAUCGAACAGG